rnacentral:rRNA from 1 species
CCAACAGGGAUUGCCUCAGUAACGGCGAGUGAAGCGGCAACAGCUCAAAUUUAAAAUCUGGCCCUCCCGGGGUCCGAGUUGUAAUUUGGAGAGAGGAUUUCGGGCGCGGCGCCGGUCUAAGUUCUUUGGAACAGGACGUCGCAGAGGGUGAGAAUCCCGUACGUGACCGGCGGCCAAGCUCAGGUGAAACCUCUUCGACGAGUCGAGUUGUUUGGGAAUGCAGCUCAAAAUGGGUGGUAAAUUUCAUCUAAAGCUAAAUACCGGCCAGAGACCGAUAGCGCACAAGUAGAGUGAUCGAAAGAUGAAAAGCACUUUGGAAAGAGAGUCAAACAGUACGUGAAAUUGUUGAAAGGGAAGCGCUUGCAACCAGACCUGCCCGCGGGUGAUCCGCCGCCCCUCGGGGCGGUCCACUCGCCCGCGAUCAGGCCAGCAUCGGUCCGGGCGGCCGGAUAAAGGCCCCGGGAAUGUAGCUCCCCCCGGGGAGUGUUAUAGCCCGGGGCGCCAUGCGGCCAGCCGGGACCGAGGACCGCGCUUCGGCUAGGAUGCUGGCGUAAUGGUUGUAAGCGGCCCGUCUUGAAACACGGACCAAGGAGUCUAACAUCUAUGCGAGUGUUUGGGUGUCAAACCCAUGCGCGGAAUGAAAGUGAACGGAGGUGGGAACCCGCGAGGGCGCACCAUCGACCGAUCCUGAUGUCUUCGGAUGGAUUUGAGUAGGAGCAUAGCUGUUGGGACCCGAAAGAUGGUGAACUAUGCCUGAAUAGGGUGAAGCCAGAGGAAACUCUGGUGGAGGCUCGCAGCGGUUCUGACGUGCAAAUCGAUCGUCAAAUUUGGGUAUAGGGGCGAAAGACUAAUCGAACCAUCUAGUAGCUGGUUCCAGCCGAAGUUUCCCUCAGGAUAGCAGUAACGUUUUCAGUUUUAUGAGGUAAAGCGAAUGAUUAGAGGCCUUGGGGUUGAAACAACCUUAACCUAUUCUCAAACUUUAAAUAUGUAAGAAGUCCUUGUUGCUUCGUUGAACGUGGACAUUCGAAUGCACCGUUACUAGUGGGCCAUUUUUGGUAAGCAGAACUGGCGAUGCGGGAUGAACCGAACGUGAGGUUAAGGUGCCGGAAUGCACGCUCAUCAGACACCACAAAAGGUGUUAGUUCAUCUAGACAGCCGGACGGUGGCCAUGGAAGUCGGAAUCCGCUAAGGAGUGUGUAACAACUCACCGGCCGAAUGAACUAGCCCUGAAAAUGGAUGGCGCUCAAGCGUGCUACCCAUACCUCGCCGCCAGGGUAGCAACGAUGCCCUGGCGAGUAGGCUGGCGUGGAGGUCCGUGACGAAGCCUUGGGGGUGACCCCGGGUCGAACGGCCUCUAGUGCAGAUCUU